UCACAACGUGGUUGCUCACCGAUCCUUCAGCUGAAGUGGUUCUCUUGUUGGACGUGGUCUUCCAUCGUGCUUUCUCCCGCCCUCAAACUCGCUCGCACCGACACACACAGGUGCACGGCUGCGACAACUUUCUGUUCGUCGCUGCCGGUACACUCUGUGCAUCACUCUUGCCAGACAUCCACCCACCCACACGCCCAAGCGCACGCUCACGAACUCACCAACACAGUUGAUCUGGUUCUCGUGGGACUUUGCUAUCCUGCUGCCACCAUCUUAACGUGCCUCUCUCUCCCCCUUCAGACGUCGCUGUGAUCACCACCACCACCACAGCCACCGCAGCCGGACGUCCACCAUGCGCCUGGAACUCAAGGAUUUUGUGCAGGCUACUCGCAGCAUGCAUCAGCAGCCAGGCGGGGUGAAGCGAACACGGCUGAUGCUGCGGUUGCGCCCCUACCAGAGCCGCAAGACGUUCGUGCUCAAGGCCACCGAUGGCCGAGUGACAAUGACGACGCGGGUGGAGCAUCAAGGCCAGAUCAAGAUGGUGGAGAGCCUCGUGAACGAGUUCGUCACGGAGUGCACCAGGGCAUCGGUAGGCAGCCCUGUGCCGUCCACCGCGACUGCGAGCGCUGGAGAGCAGCAAGCAGCAAACGCGGCCGCCGCGUCUUCCGUCUCAGCUGCUUCAGGGCACAAGGACCGCAGUCCCGGCGCUGCUGCUGCUGCCGCUACUGCGACGGGGCAGGCAGGCGCUGGUGGCUCGGCGUCGCACCGGCAUCAGACGCAGCUCGCCUCCGCUCAGGCCAGCAGCCACAGCAGUGGCAACACUGGAAGGCAAGGUAGAGGGAGGAAAGGCAAGCGCCAUUAAAGGAACGCGCGAGGACAUCCCACGAAGGAAAACAAAGGCCGGUACAGCAAGCAGUCCCCUGGCGGUUCUGCGUGGCGGCGUGUGUGAGCGUUCCCACGGCUUGGCGCCCCCACCCAGAGGGCGGAGCGAUGUGUGGCUUCGCAAGCACCCCAGGCGCGCGCCCAUCCCACAGCGACCGCAACGCAUGGGCGAGCUGAGCGAGGGGGCGUGGGAUGUGUGGGUGGGUGGUGUGGGGGCGACUACCUCUCAGCUUACUACAACCCAACCCAAACCUCUCUCUACGAGGGGUGGACUGGCAACACGGAGCGGGAUGGGGCGAGGAGUGCCCACAGAGAGGGUCAGGGCAGGCCUUGCCAGCGGAGAAGAGGAGGAUGCGAACGGUGAGGCAGCCUUCGUAGCCGCGGUGCAGCCUGCGCCUCGACUACAACCUGAGGGAUGGUGGAGGGAAGGAGGGGUGGUGGUGAUGGCGCGUGUGAAGGGUGUCGGACGCUCCUUUUUUUUUCGUGCCAGCUGUGACCUCUUGCUCGCCUCCCCCCUGCCCUUCAUCCCUUACCACUCUCGACGAGCUGCUGUACGUACUCACGUGCUGCACGUCCCGCUCUUCUCCGGGGCGCGUGACAUCGCCCCCUUCCCCCUAUCUGCCUGUACGCCGUCUUGUGUUGCGCUGUAAAACCGAUCAAAAAUAAACGCGAGUCGGUUGGCAGCACUCGCGUGAGCGCGGUGUGGACACACGUGUGCCGAACACGUUCAUGCAUGGUCGCGCCCGUCCUGAGGCGGCGACAGUGAGGGCGGGCGUGAGAGGGAGGAGGAGGAGGAGGGGGGCGGCGGCGGCGGUGGUGGUGGUGACUCGGAUGGGCCCAGCUUCAUGUGCACGUCGCGGACGCCUUCUUUUCUUUUGCCCCUUCCUCUCAUGAGGUACGCUCGUCGCUGAACGCGCCUCUUUCGCGCCACGUUUCUCUUGAGCUCAACCACGGUGUCUAAGCUGCGUGCUCUUCGUGGGUGGCCGCGGCUCCGCCGCUGCCACGUGUGACGCUGCCCUACGUGCGCGUUGGGGCACACCACUGUCUGCGAGCAAGACUGUUACACACACACAU
rnacentral:misc_RNA from 1 species